UUUGUUGCUUCAGUAUCAGCUUCGCCCUAAAUAGUAGCAAUCGCCUCCUCUGCUCGGUAGUAAGCGGCCAACACUCCAUUUUCUACGUGAAGUUGUAAACAAGCAGCGGUCGCUCAGCAUGCGG
rnacentral:lncRNA from 1 species